rnacentral:lncRNA from 1 species
UUCGGCCCCAGAGACCAUCCUUUAAUAUACAUGCAGCUGCAUGGGCACAUCUUGGGCUGCGCUGGAGGUUUGGGAGCGCGGGGAGCAGGGCUGUCCCCUCUCUGCAGAGCUGGGAGGGGAUGGUGGAUGGUGGCCUCUCCAAGAGCACAUCUUGUGUGGGUGAGACUGAAAGUGGGGAGAGAGGCAGAGCUGAAAGGAAGAAGCUCAGAUCUCCUUCCCAGGUGGUUGUCCACGUGGUUCAUCUCAGUGGGGAGUUCAGGGCAAUGGUGCAAAGAGGGCAGAGGGGCAGCAAGGCAGGGGGUCAGGGGGCAGCCAGAAGGGUUGGGGAUGUUCUUCUGUCCUGGUGCUCCUCUCACUGUCCCGUGGGGGACUUGGCGGCGUCGAACAUCUUCUUCCGCCCCUCCAUCCCCGACAUGGCCUCCACGUUCUUGCGCCAAUCACCCACCUCCACCGGGCGCUCCUUCUCCGUGUCCUCCUUCUUGACAGACUUCAGGUUGGCUCUCAGGUCCAUGGACACCUUGUGCUUGGAGCCCAGCAGAGCCCUCAGCAUGGCGUCGGCGGAGACGCGGACCCUCCGCAGCGGGGGCCUCUUGAACUUCCCUCUCAGGUCGAGCACUUUGAGCUUCAGGUCUUUAAUCUCCCUGGUGUUAUGGUUGCACUUUGCUUCGAUGUCAUAUCUCUCUUCGUCCACAAUCUCAACCUUCUCAUGCAGCUCCCGGCACAGAUCCUGGAGUUGGCUCAAGGAGAGCCCGCUGGUGUGCAGGGGGGUGAUGCGCUCAGACAGGUAUCUCUCCUUCUCCGACUGUUUGUCCACGAUCUCCUGCUCCCACUCCUCCUUGGCCUUUGCCAGCAUCAAGCUCUUCAACAGGAGCUUGCGCGAGGCUGUGAUCUUGGAUUUUCUCUCCCUGGGCUCCGGCAUUGCGGCACUGGGCUGAUCUCCUGGGAGCUGCUGCCUGGUGUGUGCAGAGCCGAGCACUGCGGGGCCCGGCGGCGGAGGGGGAGU